rnacentral:miRNA from 1 species
GAUUUCCACGAAGGAAAGUCCAUGGCAUGUGUUUCUCCUCAUAUGUUAUAUUGCAUGUAUGUACAUGCAUGUACAUACAUGCAUACAUACAGAUCAUGAUGACACAUACUAAGCUUU